CCAGGCUCUCCUGCUGCUUGGAAAAGAGUGUUGCAGGGCAGAGGCGCCGCAGGGAAAAGGGGUCUCCUCGAUCUUGUUCUCUGAGCUGAGCACCCCAUGGGAAGGACCUCACACACUUCUGUCUGCCCUGGACCUGUAUGGUCAACCAGGAAGUUCAGGUUCCUGUCAAACUCCAAAGCAAGUGGUGA
rnacentral:lncRNA from 10 species